UGCUUGAAAUGCAGGUGCAGCUGAGUUUUCUUCUGAGCUAAUAGCAUACUUAAUUAGUCCCGUAAAAAGGAUUAUUAAUCUGCUGAAGCUUACACCAAAGGAAGAGUUCUCUGGCUGACUGAUGCAGAAUUACGCAUAGCCGGUAAAACGGCUUUGUAAAACUCGAUCUCAAAUCAAGUAAGACUACCCGCUGAACUUAA
rnacentral:misc_RNA from 1 species